rnacentral:lncRNA from 1 species
AUGCACAUGACCCAUGUCAUAACCUACUUUGCAGAGCCCUGCCCCAGUAACUGGGGGACUUGCCUUCCUACCUGUGGCCAACAGCUCCAAUUGAUCAACACUGAGUCUGGCAAUGGGCCCUUCAGAUUUGGACCAAGUUGCUGUAAACAAGGCUUCCAAGAAGCGAGUGCCUGGAGGACUUCAUUAAAAAGCAGCAUUGCCACUUCUGCCAAGGUUCCUACCCUUUGCCAAUGUGCUUAA